UACAGAGGGGGCAAGCGUUGUUCGGAAUUACUGGGCGUAAAGGGCGCGUAGGCGGCCUGUUAAGUCGGACGUGAAAUCCCUCGGCUCAACCGGGGAACUGCGUCCGAUACUGGCGGGCUUGAAUUCGGGAGAGGGAUGUGGAAUUCCAGGUGUAGCGGUGAAAUGCGUAGAUAUCGGGAGGAACACCAGUGGCGAAGGCGGCUUCCUGGCCUGUUCUUGACGCUGAGGCGG
rnacentral:rRNA from 1 species